rnacentral:rRNA from 1 species
UACAGAGGGUGCGAGCGUUGUCCGGAAUCACUGGGCGUAAAGGGCGCGUAGGUGGCCUGGUAAGUAGGGGGUGAAAUCUCGUGGCUCAACUGCGAGGCUGCCUCCUAAACUGUCAGGCUCGAGCAGAGUAGAGGCAGGUGGAAUUCCCGGUGUAGCGGUGGAAUGCGUAGAGAUCGGGAAGAACAUCGGUGGCGAAGGCGGCCUGCUGGGCUCUUGCUGACACUGAGGCGCGACAGCGUGGGUAGCAAACAGG